rnacentral:rRNA from 1 species
AAUAGUACGAAUUCCCGUUGAUCCUGCGGGAGGCUGCUGCUAUUAGGGUUCGAUUAAGCCAUGCAAGUCGGAGGGUUCUUCGGAACACAGGCGAACUGCUCAGUAACACGUUGAUAAUCUGCCCUUAGGUCUGGAAUAACCCCGGGAAACUGGGGCUAAGACCGGAUAGGAAGAUCGUUCUGGAAAGAAUUUCUUCUUAAAGGCAACGCCUAAGGAUGAGUCAGCGGCUGAUUAGGUUGUUGGUGGGGUAACGGCCCACCAAGCUUAAGAUCAGUAGGGGCCUUGAGAGAGGGAGCCCCGAGAAGGGAACUGAGAUACAUUCCCUAGCCCCACGGGGUGCAGCAGGCGCGAAACCUUUACAAUGCACGCAAGUGUGAUAAGGGAACCCUAAGUGCUCAGUUAUGCUGGGCUUUUGCCAAGCGUAAAUAGCUUGGAGAAUAAGUGGUGGGCAAGACUGGUGCCAGCCGCCGCGGUAACACCAGCGCCACAAGUGGGAGCCGCUAUUAUUGGGCCUAAAGCGUCCGUAGCCGGUUUAGCAAAUCUUCUGUGAAAUUGUUAAGCUUAACUUAACAACGUGCAGAAGACACUACUAAACUUGGGACCGGGAGGAGUCAGAGGUAUUCCAGGAGGAGCGGUAAAAUGCAAUAAUCCCUGGAGGACCACCUAUGGCGAAGGCAUCUGACCAGAACGGAUCCGACGGUGAGGGACGAAAGCUAGGGGAGCGAUCCGGAUUAGAUACGGAUAAUGUUAAGACAUUUCUUGAGUUAACUCAAAAAGAAUCGUUCAAAUUCUAUAAAAAUUUGAGUUAAAUAUCAGAAUAUGAAAAUGAAUAUUAUCCGCUAACGACCCGAGUAGUCCUAGCUGUAAACUCUGCGAGUUAGGUGUUGCGCAAUCUAUAAGGUUGCGCAGUAUCGUAGCGAAGGCGUUAAACUCGCCGCCUGGGAAGUACGGUCGCAAGGCUGAAACUUAAAGGAAUUGGCGGGGGAGCACUACAAGGGGGGCGGCGUGCGGUUUAAUCUAACUCAACACAGAGAAUCUCACCAGGAGCGACGGCAGGAUGAAAGUCAGAUUAAAGGUUUUACUUGACAAGCCGAGAGGUGGUGCAUGGCCGCCGUCAGCUCGUGCCGUAAGGUGUCCAGCUAAGCCUGGUAACGAGCGAGACCUAUAUCUACAAUUGCUAACAGAUCCUUUUGGAUGACUGAGCACAUUGUGGAGACUGCCUUGGAAACAAGGAGGAAGGUGUAGGCUACGGUAGGUCUGUAUGCCCCGAAUCUCCUGGGCUACACGCGCGCAACAAUGGUACGGACAAUGGGUCACGACUCCGUAAGGAGAAGUUAAUCCUCGAAACCGUAUCCAAGUCCAGAUUGAGGAUUGUAACCCAUCCUCAUGACGAUGGAAUCCCUAGUAAUCGGGCGUCAUCAGCGCCCGGUGAAUACGUCCCUGCUCCUUGCACACACUGCCCGUCAAACCACUCGAGCAGGGUCUAGAUGAGGCUUAAUUUUUUGAUUAUGUCGAAUCUAGGCUCAGUGAGAAGGGUUAAGUCGUCACAAGGUAUCCGUAGGGGAACCUGCGGAUGGAUCACCUCCUU